rnacentral:piRNA from 1 species
AAUUACCGGAUGAUGGAUUUUCCU